rnacentral:lncRNA from 1 species
AAAUGCAAAGUGUGUAAUAAUUUAGUGAUAACGCCGUUGGCUGCCAAUGUCGAAACCGAAGCUUGCUGCAGCACCUGCUGGCUGCCGCUGAAGGUCUUGAUGCUAUUGUUUUGUUUGGGGAUAUCACGAUCCCUGGAUCAAGUUUUGUAACAGGAAAAAGAACUGUUUCAUGAAUUGGCAUCGUUUUGGUGAUGCUUGAGAUGCGAUCUUAGCUAAUAACCCUUCCUUUUUCUCAUCUUGCAUACUGUUACAUAUUUAAUCACCUUAACUACAAAUAUUUAAAUAUAGCUAUGUUAAGAUUGCAUCUGCAAACACCACAAAAGUUCAUGUAAUCCAAUAAAAAGAAUACACUUUCAAAUUAUCUUCAGUUUCACAUAAGAGUAGUCUUACACCCAUAUUCAUCAUCUAAAACAGAAGGAUCUUCAUAAACUAAAAAAAAAACCCCCAUAGUUUCAAUUAUCAUAAGUUUUGCAUUCAUCAGUCUCGGGGUUGUCUUUGCAGUAAUUCUCGAGAGGAUCGUUAUCUUUCAGCCUAUCCCUGGCGUGGCUGGCUGCUGCACUCAGUUCUUCCACCUCGUCCCAAGCCGCCACACACUCUCCGCUAGCUGGGUCAUCCGAGCACGCCUCUUGUGCUUCCUUGAUGCUCUGCUCCACCUUCUCCGACAAGCUAUCAGGUGCAGCUCUCACCUGCAUCCGCCUGGAUUCCAACGGGGACAAUACCCUUUUCAUUGGCUGGUUAAGGUAUGGGACCUUGAUGGGGCUACCCUUGGUGGAGUCUCGUAGGCUGGCGGUGGCUCUUGGGGUAACGAAGUUAAGAGUGAACAGGGUCGCCAUUGUAGUUGUUCUUGUUUCGUCUGUGAUGUGAAGAGUGAAAGGGUGUGCAAUGCAAUGCUUUUCGGAAAUAAAACGAUAACAGGAAGAAGAUCUUUAAUUGGGAACUGCAAUGGUCCACAAAUUUCUUAUCACCUUGGAACCAAUAACGUAUUUACACCUUGCUUGAAAUUGGAGAUAUUUAAUUACAAUUGUUAAUCAAAUCUCAAAUAAUUAUCCAUUACCCAGAAAGAAAUUUAAUCUCACAACGUUGUUCCUCACCCAUUUUGUGUUUUACUUUAACGUUGUAAGAGUAAAUUAUUUAAUUUAAAACAAAUUAAAAAUGAGAAAUCAUUAUUUGGGCUACAACUCGAUAAUAAUUCUCAUAUUGAAGCCUAGAUUUUUUUUUUUGUCUAAGCUAGUCUCUAAAUUUAGUAAUAGUUCUGCAUGAAUUAGGCGGUUAUUUUCAUAUUAAGAUUUAAAUUUUUUUUAUUCAAGUUAGUCUCUAAACUUGAUAAUUGUUCCUAUAUUGAGAUCUAAACUCAAGAAUUGUUCUCACGCUCAGACCUAAACUUUAAGGUUUUCAAGGAAAUAUUAAGAAUUAACUUAGACAAAAAAAAUCAUUCUCCAAUCUAAAAAUAAUUGUCAAGUUUAAGGGCUAACGUGUAAAAAAAAAGUUUAUAAGCAUAAAAUUUUAGUAGAAUAAUUAACCCGUGAUAACAAUUCAAUCAAAUACUUUUAAUAAAAUAAAUAUGCACCAAUUCAAUCAAAAAACCAAAAAAUAAAUAUGCAAUUAUAAGCAUGGUUAUCUAAACUGAACCAGACUAGCCAAUCAGACCACGAACAAAUUGGUACGGGCCGAUUGAACAUAGCUAAAAAUCGAAUGAACCGACAAUUGAACUGAUAUUUUUAGUUUUAUAAAUUUUUAAUGAUUUAUUUAAUUGAACAAUCCAAACUAAUCGAAUCAAUGAUCAAACCAAUUCAACCAUCUAUCUGAUUCUAAAAACCUUGAUUAUAAGUAAACAAAAUUAUAAAAUAUUACUAAAUAUAAAAAGUAAACUUAAAAUGAUAGUAAAAAUGUUAAUGAUUUAUGAAAAUUAAAUUAAAAUCAAAAUUAGCUUCCCUCAAAUAAAAAUUGACAAAUAGUUUUAAAAUUUAUCCCUAAAUUAUAACUUUAAUUACAUUUUAUAUUAUUAUUAAAAGAAAUACAUAAACAGAAACCAAAAAUAUGGCGGCCCAGGGGUCACAACAUCAAGAAACUGAUUGGAUUUGUUAAGCAAAUAUGUGAUCACCAAGACCUCAAUACAACAAUUUUAUUCCUAAAGGAAAAAAAAAUUUACCAAAACCGAGUUUGCUCAUCUUGCAUACAAGAGCCAAAAGCAGGGAUCGCAAAGAUCAAAAUACAGCCAGAGCUGCCCACAAAUUCACAAAACAUAAAAACAUUUAUUCUUCUGCCACAACACUGAUUUCACCUUUCUCAAGCAUGUCAUAGAAUGCUCUCACUUUCCUCUGCUCAUUCCAGUGAUGCAUCUUCCAAAGCCCACCAGCGCAAAGACCGAGUGUUAUCCCGAUAACUAUCUCCUUAACGACACUCGGUCCUUUCAAGGUGGCAUGAGCAAUCCUAUAUCCGGCCAUUUCACUUCUCUAGUUGUAUCUAGUAAACCAAGAAGCAAGAACAAACAUUUUCAGUUUCCAACAGUACAAAGUAUGGGAACGAACAACUCAAUUUUAUAUGAAAAACCAGAAAUGCAACCAGCAGAGGUAACAAAUGUUCAUAAACCCAAUAGUGAUAACAUAAUGCAAUUAACAAAAAUUUAGGUAACAUAACUGGCAAUUAACCAAACACUAAAUCAACACAUAGAGGGACCUAUCCAAUUUUAAUUUAUAACAGAACAUAUGGCUUUACAAGCAAUGGUUUCAAACUAUAUUGCUCCAACCAAGUGGAGGGAAGAUGAAUGGAAAAUGCAGAUUUGUUCUCAAAUAUUGUUCCUUUUCACCCAAGAUGGUAUCUAUAAUCUUAUACACAUUGCUUAUUUCAUCUAUUUGCUUUGGGACCAACAUAGUUUGCACUUACAUAUUUCGUUAAAUAACUUCCAUGUUAGUUCCAUAGCAAUUACAAGCUAAAAUCUAGGACUAGACCAACUCAGAUUAUUGCUUGAUGACAACCAAGGCAUUGAAACCUGACUAUAGUGUCUUCCUAUUUAACGAUAGUACAAUUCAACGCCUUCAAUUACUACGUUUUACUUGUUACUUAAAUUCAACAGCAGUUUUAUGCUGUGUAAAUCACAUAAUAUCUCUUGGGUCUAAGCACUCAAAUCAAAGACGUGUAGCCCGAGAUUCUCCUCUCUUAGUUUUCCAAACAACCACAGCCAAUCCCCUUUCUAAUGCGAUUUCGAAUCUCAGUUGGGUGUUCGAAAAAAUAAUUCACCCAUAAUUUCAAAGCAUAAAUGAAAUAAUCGUAAAACGAAAAACAGAUAUUAAUUUAAUAAAGUUCGAAGCUGUUAGAUCCCUCAAACGGAUCUCAAGAUCUUCAAUAACAAAUAAAAAAAAUCAUUUCCCAGUAUAGGGAUAAGAUGGAGAGGGUUACAAGUGGAGGAAAGUCGUCAAGAGGAAAACGAAAGGAACAACGGAAGAGAGAAAUUAGGGUUUACCUGAACGAGGCUGCGAUGAAGACUAAAGGAUCCAAUUGGAUGGGGAUUCGAAAUUGAAGAGGAUUGGGAGCUUCAACGACCUAUAAUCUUCUACAACAUUAUUUGGAAAUUCUCUAUUUUACGCUUGUCAAAUAGUGGGCUCAGUUUAGGAUGGGCCAUAUAUCCAACAUCUCCGUUUCUUUCUCUAAAUAUAGCCAAUUAUUAUUAUUGGUUAAAAAAUACUAAAAAUAUUAUUUCAUACGUGGAUUUUUUACUGCAUUUUAAAAUAAAUGAAAAAUCAAAAUAUUUACCAAUUGAAUGUAAUGGUAAAAUACAUUGCAUUUUCAAGCAAAUUUUAAAGACAACCUUCUUGGAAAAUACACAUGACCGUAAAACAUAAAUGAAAAAUAUCAACAAAAUAAAAUAAAAAUAUUUAAAAAUAAUGUCAAGUUAACUUAAAAAGUCAUGUCAUCGUAACCAAAUUUGUGAAAAUUUAUCAAGUUCAAAUACUAAAGCGGACCAAUAAAAACAUUCAAAGACUAAGAAGUUGCCAAGCUCAAGGACCAUAUCCCUUAAAUUUUUAAUUAAAUAAUAGUAUUUAAUUUGAUCAUUUUUAUUUUCUAUACUUUUUAAAUUCUAAAAUUUCAUUCAUAACUCCAUUUAACUAAAAUAUUGUGACAUUUUUGUGAAUAUUAUAUGAGAAUAAAAAGCAUAUAAUAUGAUAGCAGCAUAAGAUUUCGGAAAUUUAGCACACAAUUUGAUCAAAGCAAAAUACAUAUUCGCUAAAGACUUCACCUACUUUUCAAGGUUUAAUAUUGUUAUCUAACUAACAUUAAAAUUCAUAUCAUCAUUCAGUAUUGGCACCCAAAGAGACACAAAGCAGGCAAAAUCAUAUUUCCAAUUAUCUCAAAAUAGUAAAUGUAGACAGCCAUGUCAUUAAUGGCAGAGUUAGCUAAGGAACAAACAGUAAACACCAGGAGGCCUAUUCAUCACUAUCAGCAGUAGCAGCUAGUGGCUGAAGAGCUUUGAGAGGAUUCAUAAUGACACCAUCGAUAAGUCCAUAUUCUUUUGCUUCUUUUGCGCUCAUGAAGAAAUCACGGUCGGUAUCCUGGUUAAUCUUCUCCAAACUUUGGCCGGUAUGGUAAGCAAGAUACCCGUUUAAGUUUGCCUUAUGAUGCAGCAUUUCAUUUGCCUGAGAUUAUCAUUCAGGUCCAAUCAUUAUGGUUUAACAACUGAACUAAAAAUGAAACUACAUGCUAAGCAAGCUUAGUAAAAAGACAUGUUUGCUAACGCUUGGUUGUCUUGUAUCAUAAACAUCAAGAUGCGAGAUGCAAUUGAAUGUAUUCGAUAUAUCACACGGGCUAUGAACCAUGGAAAGCAAAAACAUAAAAUUUAAAAAACAUAUGAGGUUUACCAAGAAAAACCCAUACCUGAAUAUCAAUAUCAGUUUGACCACCUUGAGCUCCACCAAGGGGUUGAUGUAUCAUUAUCCUUGAAUUGGGCAAACUGUAUCGUUUUCCUAGAGUUUUGAAGAAAACAAAGGGGUGCAAGCAUUUAGUAGACCAGAGGAAACAACAACAAACAUCAGAGCUAUGAAUGGUACAAAUCAAAAGCAUUGUAUACCUUUGGUUCCGCCACUUAGCAGAAAGGCUCCCAUGCUGUUCAUGAAAAAAUAAAAAUAUAUCCAUUACUAAAAAAAAUAAUUGCAUCCACAUGAAAACAGAAAAAUUUAACCUCUGAAGCAUCAAUAAACAUCUUAUUUUAGAAUUGCAAGUCAAAGACAAAAAGUCUACGAUUUCCAUAAAUCAAUAUCAUGUUACUUGUCCAAGAAACUUUAUUUUUCAUAUAAUUAACACAAGCAAAGAUUAAACUAACUGUGGCUUUGAAAUACAAAGGUCAGGCAUUGAGGAGAGGAACAUAAGAAGUAAAACAAGUCUUAUCACUACACCUCCUCUAUCUCCAAUAAAUUGAAGUAUUACAGCCCAUUUAGCCAAAAGAAAACAUGUAUUACACAUAUUAAGAAUAUACUCAUCAAGGAUACAAUAGCUUUCAGAAUGAGUCAAAUAUCAUAACUUGAGUUUCGACCCUGAGAUUAAAAAAGAAAGCAGGCAUAGCUUGCAAAACUAUUGUUAUUGAUGUUCCAUAUUUGAGAUUUGAGAAUAUAAUGACAGCACUGUAAGCAGAAACAGUUACAUCAAAAAACUUAUACCUAGCUGCAAGUCCAACACACACAGUUGAGACAUCGGGCCGGAUAUGCCUCAUGGUGUCAAAUAUAGCCAUACCUAAUAUAAAAAAUUCAAAACCACGCAAGUUAGACAAGUCAAUCCCUAGCUUGCUAUUCAAAACAAACUAGAGCAAUUAUAAAUACAUCAUUCUUAUUAGAUAGAUACAUUACCAGCUGUAACUGACCCUCCAGGGGAAUUGACAUACAUGACAAUGUCCUGUUGACAAGAUUAAAAUGCAUAAGUAGUAAAUAACAUACAUGGUGCCAUUCAAGGUUCCUAAUUCUUUUAGGGGAAAAAGGGUGAGAAUGAGUAAGCAAUAAGCAUAGAACAAAAGAGACCUUCUGAGGAUCAACGGCAUCAAGAUAGAGAAGCUGAGCUACAAUAAUGUUUGCCAUAUCAUCAUCAACGGCUCCACCACAGCGAACUAUUCUCUAACGAAUGGAAACAAACAACCAAAAUAAGAAGCUGAAACGAAAGGAGAAAAAACUAAAUUUGUUAAAGCCAAAAUUCGCAUCCAGGCCGAAUCCUCACAUGUUGAAAAAGUUGGCUGACAACACUUUGAAAUCUCUCUUGCACCAUGGGAGGUGGCCCCUGCCCUUGUGCAUAGGCAGGUAAGUAAGGUGAUGCCGGGACUUGCAAAUCAUCCCUGCAUAGUGACAACGUAAAUUUUUUGAUCUUUUAUCACAUAUUUGUCCAUUAAGAAAAAAAGGGUUGUAGUUCCAUACGAGACUUUUACCUUAUUGACCAAAUUCCCUGUCGAGAAGUUGUCGGAGGAGCCCAAAACUCACCUGCGUAAACAGCUUUUGGCUGAUAAUUCACCGCAUUCUUUUGAUUACUGAGAAACUUCUUCAAUUUCCUGAGAAUAAAAAUAAAGAUUUUACUUUCAAAAUUGGACCCCCUAAAAGAAAACCCAUGUUGGACCCUCUAACGUUAAGACAAAAAGAACACGGGUUCUAUUCAAGAUUGGAAACUGGAAGAACGGAAAGACUACCUCCAAGGUUCCAGAAUGUCGAAUUAAACAGACUUUGAACUUAAAGUUGUUUACAUCAAUUUCCUAGUUUGGGUAAAAGAAAGAUGGAACAAAAAAGAAAAUACCUGGGACGAAGGGGAUGGAAAGGAAGAGACAACUUAUUAGAAUCGACAUUGGUGCUUGAGUUUGGAGAGAAGAGGAGAGAACUGAAUCGAAGAGACGAGGGCGAUGUCGAAAAGCACGCGCUUGCCAUUCUUUAUCUAUGAAACCAAAACUGAAGUAGCAGUUGACUUUAGAGGCGUGAGGAAUGGGAGGAGGGUUUGUCAGGCGCGGUGGGGUUGGGAGG